AUUGAACGCUGGCGGCAGGCCUAACACAUGCAAGUCGAGCGGAAACGACACUAACAAUCCUUCGGGUGCGUUAAUGGGCGUCGAGCGGCGGACGGGUGAGUAAUGCCUAGGAAAUUGCCUUGAUGUGGGGGAUAACCAUUGGAAACGAUGGCUAAUACCGCAUAAUGCCUACGGGCCAAAGAGGGGGACCUUCGGGCCUCUCGCGUCAAGAUAUGCCUAGGUGGGAUUAGCUAGUUGGURAGGUAAUGGCUCACCAAGGCGACGAUCCCUAGCUGGUCUGAGAGGAUGAUCAGCCACACUGGAACUGAGACACGGUCCAGACUCCUACGGGAGGCAGCAGUGGGGAAUAUUGCACAAUGGGCGAAAGCCUGAUGCAGCCAUGCCGCGUGUAUGAAGAAGGCCUUCGGGUUGUAAAGUACUUUCAGUUGUGAGGAAGGGGGUARYGUUAAUAGCGYUAUCUCUUGACGU
rnacentral:rRNA from 1 species